AUUGAACGCUGGCGGAAUGCUUUACACAUGCAAGUCGAACGGCAGCACGGGAGCUUGCUCCUGGUGGCGAGUGGCGAACGGGUGAGUAACAUAUCGGAACGUAUCCAAUAAUGGGGGAUAACUAAUCGAAAGGUUGGCUAAUACCGCAUAAGCCCUGCGGGGGAAAGCGGGGGAUCUUCGGACCUAGCGUUGAUGGAGCGGCCGAUAUCUGAUUAGCUAGUUGGUGGGGUAAAGGCUCACCAAGGCGACGAGCAGUAGCUGGUCUGAGAGGACGACCAGCCACACUGGAACGGAGACACGGUCCAGACUCCUACGGGAGGCAGCAGUGGGGAAUUUUGGACAAUGGGCGCAAGCCUGACCCAGCCAUGCCGCGUGCGGGAAGAAGGCCUUCGGGUUGUAAACCGCUUUCGGCCGGAACGAAAUCGCCCGGGUGAACAUCCCGGGUGGAUGACGGUACCGGAAGAAGAAGCACCGGCGAACUACGUGCCAGCAGCCGCCGUAACAC
rnacentral:rRNA from 1 species